CCGUGCUAGACGGGGAGGCAGCGGUGCCCUGUACCCGCAAUCCGCUAUAGCGGGGUUGAAUUCCGCCCCGAGGUCGCCAUCCUUAAAGUCUGGCCUCGGUAAGUGGUGACGAAGGCUGGGUCCUGCGCAACGGGUGUCUAUGAACCCCGUCAGGACCGGGAGGUAGCAGCGGUAAGUAGAAUUUCCCGUGUGCCGCGGGGGCGCCUGGCUGGAGCUGGCUGCCGCGGUACCGUUUGGGGGCGGCGGUCGAAGGUCGGUGCACGG
rnacentral:SRP_RNA from 1 species